rnacentral:rRNA from 1 species
AUGCACUUGUCGUCGAGGAACUUGACGGACCCGAGGCUUCCGGAGACGACGGUAGUGGGAUUUGUAUCAACAUGGUGUAGUUGUACUUGCCGGUGGUGGUGCUUGGCGAAAAACCGAGAUGGUCUUGACGUUAACAGCCACAAGCGGGGGUGCACGGAGGAUGUGUCUUGCGUUCCUCGCGGAGGUGGUCUUACUUGCCGGUGGUGGUGCUUGGCGAAAAACCGAGAUGGUCUUGACGUUAACAGCCACAAGCGGGGGUGCACGGAGGAUGUGUCUUGCGUUCCUCGCGGAGGUGGUCUUGACCAUGGCGUUCCUGCGGUAGCUGGAGAGCUCAUGGCCUGCAGUAGCAGCAAGGUGCGGCUCCGGUGGAGGGACUUGGCGCGCAGGGGCAUCGUGGGAUGGCGCUGGUCCUCUCCUCCAGCGAAUCAAGAGCGACGACCGAGCGGGCGACCUUCCAGCGACAGAGGGGCGUCCGGCCGGCUUGGUGGCGCGUUGAACUGGCGAGUAAGAACAGGGGCGCGUGGCUUGGCGAUGCUGCUCGCUGGUGGCCACCAGAGACGGAGGCAGGGUCUCGGCGAAGUUGGCGAGGCCGAGGCGGCGAGGCACGGUGUCAUGGCGAGGCGACGACAGAGAAGAAGGCGCGACUGGUGGCGGAGGUCGCUGGGCGACGUGUGGACGAGACAAGGGGCGACGGAGGAGUUCGCUGGUGUGCGGCUUCCAGAGAAGCAGCGCCGCUGCGGGUGUUGUGCGUGCGUGAAUGGGGCUCGAGGUCGUGGGGAAGGAGCAGCUCCGCUGGUGCGGCGCCGGAGACGACCGGAUGCGGCGAGGUCCGGCGACCGGGCAACGGGGGCACGCUUGGCGGCGUCUUCGGUGGCAGGGAGGCGCGUCCCUGGCGACCGGCGUGAGGAGGAGGCCGGGGAAGGAAGGAGGCGCGCUGACGAGGAUCUGCGGCGCCUGGGCGGCGCUGGUGGCCUCCGGCGGCACUGGAUCGAAGGCGGAGGAGGACGCAGGACGUCGGAUCGGGAGGCAGCGACUGCGCUCGUCCCUGGCGGCGUGAACAGGGAAACGAGAGAGAGGGGUCGAGCGAGAGGUGAGGAGGGGAUCGGGCUCCUAGCGGCUAGGUUAGAUCGGGGAGAGACUGGGCCUUGGAGGCCGGCCUGGGUGCGGGUGGUCCAGGUGGGCCGGCGCGGAAAUUUGCCUAGGGAGCCCCAGUUGGGCUCUCUGCUCUCUCUCUCUCUCUCUCUCUCUCUCUCUCUCUCUCUCCCAUUCUUUUUCCAUUUAAGACAAAAGAGAAAAAGAGGAAGAAAAGAAAAAGAAGGUAGGGGAGGACUCUGGGCAUGGGGAUAA